AUGAGGCUAACUAGGAUAAGCUUCUCUCCUUUUGGCUGGGAGGAGGAGACAAGAUCAUCUUCAUUCUUGAGUAUGAGAAAAGAAGGCUGCUGAUUUGAGGUGAAAUCAACAGCCCCUCCUGUUUCAUUCAUGAACAUACAAGGAUCACCCCAUGCUGCAGCGUCAUAUCUGCUACACAAUGACUGGCACCAUUUUUCAUUUCUCUGCAAUCUUCUCAAAGCCUCUGUUAAUGAUAUCUUGGUGCUUGAAGACUUGCUUUGAUUCAAAAAUCAUCAUCGUUUCUAAUGAGGGCUAAAACUAACAAAGGAAAGAAAACAGCUUCUGCAGUUCAAAUGAACACAACUCGAAUGACGCGUGGACAUUUUUUUUUUUUGAAAGUCUUCUAACUCAAGGCCUGAGACUGUCUCCGUAAAUGAUACAAGAUGAUAGGAAUAUCCUGAAUAAUAAGAUGCCUGUGGUCUUUCCAUCUUUAAAUGAGUCACUUGUUAUGCAUCUCCUUCAAAUGUUUAUCUGUAAAGGAGAAAAUAAAGACAUGACUUAAUGACAAGGUUUAUAUGACAGAUUAAGAUUGUCCAGAAAAAACUUCUUUGGGAUGUGAGAUUAAAAUGGUAAACUGUUGGUUCUGGGUAUUUUUGCAGAUUGUAAUUCAAGGACUGGAGCCACAUAUCUUUGUAUGCUGGUAUUUCCACCACGUUCCUAGUCCAGUGCCAAACUCACAGGAGCCAUACCAAUAAAUCUUCAAGAAGAGGAUAUCAUGCUAGAGAUUCUUAUGCUAGGAUGUGUUUUACACAUUUUGAUAUGUGAGACCUUCCCCCAAAUAAACCGUCACUUCCUUUUCUAAA